ACGUAAUUCACCGGUUCCAACAUGACUAAACCUAAUUUCUUCUAAAACUUAGACCUGAGCUUCCUGACUCUUGCACUUCAUCUUCACCGGAUUCUCUCCGUUUCUACUCGAUCCUUUUGAUCAAUCAAUGACGCUCUUUAAUCUCUUCUUUAUUGUUUUGCUGCUAUAUCUUCGUCUCUGCUUCUCCACUCCACAAAGUAGUCAAUCAAAACUCAACGAAUCAAUGGCGAACAACAAUGGGAAAAUCAGUUUGCUACAGCUCCAGCUAAUGAGAUGUGGGAAGACAAAGCUGGAGUAGGCAAUAGAGUUGUUUGAGCAUGAUGUGUCCAUGGCUCCAUCAGAUGCUGUCUGUCAGGACCUUAUACCUUCAGUAUGACAAGCUAGAAGAGGGUUAUAGUCUGGCCAAACAAGCCGAAAAAGCCACCAAAAAGGUUCCAGAAUUCUAGAGUGUAGAGAUGUGUGAGAUAUAUAUUCCCCGUUCAGCACAUAUUCUUGGUGAUCGUGCAGUCUACAAGUAUGUCUCUCACUAUGCUGAUCCAAGGUACGACCCAGAAUUCAUUAAGGGAUGGUGCUGCCAUGUUUCUGUGCAAUAGUUAUAUGUUUCUGUGCAAUAGUUAUAUGUCAUUAAGAUAUUGAAGUCUAGAUGAGCAUUUAGUUAUGUGAAACUGUGAAUAUUCAACUCUGAUCUAAUUGAAUAUGCCUUCUUUAAAAUUUAUUAUAAAAUUUAGAUUGGCAUAUAUAUGUUUGGGGUUGGUUAAUAUAUGAGAGGAAGAAGUUGGUUUGGAAGUUUCUGUUACACCAUGUGGCACAGGUCUUACGUGCAACGUGGGAAAGAAGACACAUAGAGAAAUGCUUCGGAUCAAGAGAAGCGUCUCCGCAGGUUACAGUCAGACUCAUUUCAUUCUGCUAGAGAUAACGAUGCAAAAAGGACGAGACAGUAGAUGUGGAGGAGACAAAAUACUAUCUGAAUAAAGCAGGUUAGCCAGAAGAUGAAAUGGGAGCUUUGAAGAGGCAGCUCAUGUCCCCAAUGUCUUACCAUAGUUGCAUCAAAAGAUGGGGCAAGAAAACUGGGGUUUAUGAGCCAGUGACAGGGAAUGUGGAAGGUACUGAGCUUCCUGAAUAGUGUGAUGAUGAAUCUGUUGGAGAAGACAAAGUAUAGAUCACUCAUAAAGAAGUCCAUGAUGCUGUGUUUGGAGGACCUGCAAGAAAGAGAGAGGAAGACUGUAAAGAAGCUAAAGAAGGCGUUGAAAAUGGUAGCCAAGGGUGCGCCAGAGAGGACAAAGAGACACAAACUAGCUCAGUGAGUAAAUCAUGUUGACAAAUUACUUGUGAUACAGUUUGGAAUUGUAAUAUGCAGAACAUGAUCGUGGAAAAUUAUGUACUUCUAUUUUGUCUCAAUUCCAGUGAAAAAUUAUGUACUUUGUUUUGUCUUAAUUCCACCAUAUUAGUUUAUUGCAGAGUUAUUUGUACUCUUUCCAUUA